rnacentral:rRNA from 1 species
AUGGGAGAAGACCAAGAAGACGGCUGUCCAAGCCAAGGUCCGAACACGGGAGGAGAAGCUGGAGAAGAAGAAGGCGGAGUACGCGGAGAAGAUGCGGAACCGUAUCGCGAUGAUCCACAAGGAGGAGCAGAGGGGCAGAGGGCCGCCGUGGAGGCGAGGCGGCAGGAGGAGAUGAUCAAGUACCAGGAGAUGGCCACUGCACUUAUCCGUAUGUGGUCGAUACUCACUCCAACGGAGGCCAGGGAGCAUUUGGUUACUAGAUCUAUCCGAUGGGAGACGGUAGCUCGGGAUUUAUUCAACCGGUUUGAAUGA